CAUCACUGAAGCCCUGCCUCCAUCCAGGAAAUGCCCUAUUUAGUUCUGUGUUCCGGGCUGGAACACCCUGCAAAAAUUGAAGAAAACCAGAUAUACCAGCAGAGGGGGAGAAGCAAAGGUCCAGACCUUCCCAGUGGUGC